CAGUAGCCGCGGGAAAACGUAGGGUGCAAGCGUUAAUCGGAAUUACUGGGCGUAAAGCGUGCGCAGGCGGUUAUAUAAGACAGAUGUGAAAUCCCCGGGCUCAACCUGGGAACUGCAUUUGUGACUGUAUAGCUAGAGUACGGCAGAGGGGGAUGGAAUUCCGCGUGUAGCAGUGAAAUGCGUAGAUAUGCGGAGGAACACCGAUGGCGAAGGCAAUCCCCUGGGCCUGUACUGACGCUCAUGCACGAAAGCGUGGGGAGCAAACAGGAUUAGAUACCCGCGUAGUCCCUGUCUCUUAUAC
rnacentral:rRNA from 1 species